rnacentral:rRNA from 1 species
AUGACGGGGACAAAGACGGUGUCGAUUUGCACCCCAGAGAGCGUACAGGGCAGCCAUGUGUUCUGCAUUUUUGGCUACAACAAGCAAAGGGGCAUCGGCGCCGGUAAGUUCAUAGCUUCCAGCCCCUUCUCGGUUGGAGGCCAUGACUGGGCUAUCCGGUUUUACCCUGAUGGGUUUAACAGAGAUUCCCGAGAUUACAUCUCAGUCUACCUCGAGCUCUUGAGCAAGGACGCCGAGCACCGG